UACAGAGGGUGCAAGCGUUAAUCGGAAUUACUGGGCGUAAAGCGCGCGUAGGUGGUUUGUUAAGUUGGAUGUGAAAUCCCCGGGCUCAACCUGGGAACUGCAUUCAAAAACUGACAAGCUAGAGUAUGGUAGAGGGUGGUGGAAUUUCCUGCGUAGCGGUGAAAUGCGUAGAUAUAGGAAGGAACACCAGUGGCGAAGGCGACCACCUGGACUGAUACUGACACUGAGGUGCGAAAGCGUGGGGAGCAAACAGG
rnacentral:rRNA from 1 species